rnacentral:rRNA from 1 species
CUGGUUGCCUGUGAGACGAAUCUAAGUUCUCCCUUAAUUUUACCCCCCAAGACCCGACUACUCUCCCGUGGAAAUUAAGAGCAAUUUAAGGGAGGUACAGCUCCCUUAAAAAAGAAUACAAUCUCCCCCAGAGGAUAAGAACACCCACCCCACAAUCUGUAGGCCCUCAAGCAGCCACCAACAAAGAAUGCGUCAAAGCUCUUCACCCUAAAAAAUCUAAAAGCACACACGACUCCCUCACCCCCAACAGGCUAACCUAUCAAGAAUAGGAGCAUUAAUGCUAGAAUAAGUAACCAAGGAACCUCCUUCUAAAGCACAGACUUACAUCCAACAUUAUUAACAGACUAAUUAAUACCCCUACUAGCCCAAGCCCAAAUAUUUAAUUAAACUGUUAGACCAACCCAGGAGUGCAUAACUAGAAAGAUUCAAACCUGUAAAAGGAACUAGGCAAACCCAAGGCCCGACUGUUUACCAAAAACACAGCCUUCAGCAAACCUAGUAUUGAAGGUGACGCCUGCCCAGUGACAUAAAGUUUAACGGCCGCGGUAUCCUAACCGUGCAAAGGUAGCGCAAUCAAUUGUCCCAUAAAUCGAGACUUGUAUGAAUGGCCAAACGAGGUCUUAACUGUCUCUUACAGGUAAUCAGUGAAAUUGAUCUCCCUGUGCAAAAGCAGGGAUAAACCCAUAAGACGAGAAGACCCUGUGGAACUUAAAAACCAACGACCAACCCAGACCAAACCAAAACCCACCAGGCCUACCACCAAAAAUAACUGGUCCGUAUUUUUUCGGUUGGGGCGACCUUGGAGUAAAACAAAUCCUCCAAAAAUAAGACCACCCCUCUUCACCAAGAUCAACGACUCAACGUACUAAUAGUAACCAGACCCAGCACAGCUGAUCAAUGGACCAAGCUACCCCAGGGAUAACAGCGCAAUCCCCUUCAAGAGCCCAUAUCGACAAGGGGGUUUAC